UACGGAGGGUGCGAGCGUUGUCCGGAAUCACUGGGCGUAAAGGGCGCGUAGGUGGCGACUCAAGUCAACGGUGAAAGCUCGACGCUCAACGUCGAGUCGGCCGUCGAAACUGGGGCGCUUGAGCACUGUAGAGGCAGAUGGAAUUCCGGGUGUAGCGGUGGAAUGCGUAGAGAUCCGGAAGAACACCGGUGGCGAAGGCGGUCUGCUGGGCAGUUGCUGACACUGAUGCGCGACAGCGUGGGGAGCAAACAGG
rnacentral:rRNA from 1 species